rnacentral:rRNA from 1 species
UGCAGAAUCCCGUGAAUCAUCGAGUUUUUGAACGCAAGUUGCGCCCGAUGCCAUUCGGCAGAGGGCACGCCUGCCUGGGCGUCACGUCUUGCGUCGCUCGGUGCCAACUACGCCCGCGGGUCGAAAGUGUUGGCACGGAUGCGGAGAUUGGCCUCCUGUGCCCUUGUGCGCGCGGUGGGUUGAAGAGUGGGAUGCCAACGGAGACGGACACGACGAGUGGUGGAUGCGAGCCGGACGUCGUGGUCUCGUCCUCUAAAGGCUCGGGGGCCCCUUGUGACACCCAGUAGGGUUGCGCUGCAAGCGUUGCCUAGCAUUGCGACCCCAGGUCAGGCGGGAACACCCGCUGAAUUUAAGCAUAUCAAUAAGCGGAGGAGAAGAAACUUACGAGGAUUCCCUUAGUAACGGCGAGCGAACCGGGACAAGCCCACCUUGAGAAUCGGGCGGCUCUGUCGUUCGA